UACGUAGGUGGCAAGCGUUGUCCGGAAUUAUUGGGCGUAAAGCGCGCGCAGGCGGUCUUUUAAGUCUGAUGUGAGACGCCCACGGCUCAACCGUGGAGGGUCAUUGGAAACUGGGGGACUUGAGUGCAGAAGAGGAAAGUGGAAUUCCAAGUGUAGCGGUGAAAUGCGUAGAGAUUUGGAGGAACGCCAGUGGCGAAGGCGACUUUCUGGUCUGUAACUGACGCUGAGGCGCGAAAGCGUGGGGAGCAACAGGG
rnacentral:rRNA from 1 species